GAUGAACGCUGGCGGCGGGCCUAACACAUGCAAGUCGAGCGAAGCGGGGACGGGCGAGUAACACGUGGAUAACCUCCUAUAAGACUGGGAUAACUUCGGGAAACCGGAGCUAAUACUGAUACUUAUUGUUGGUUCCUUGCUGCAUUAGCUUGUUGGUAAGGUAACGGCUUACCAAGGCAACGGUGCAUAGCCGACCUGAGAGGGGGAGAAGCCACACUGGAACUGAGACGCGGUCCGGACUCCUACGGGAGGCAGCAGUAGGGAAUCUUACGCAAUGGGAGAAAGCCUGACGGGGCAACGCCGCGUGAGUGAAGAAGGUCUUCGGAUCGUAAAACUCUGUUAUUAGGGUAGCGGUACCUAAUCAGAAAGCCACGGCUAACUACGUGCCAGCAGCCGCGGUAAUAC
rnacentral:rRNA from 1 species